GCGUUGUUCGGAGUUACUGGGCGUAAAGAGUGCGUAGGCGGUCCUCUAAGUUUGGUGUGAAAUCUCCCGGCUCAACCGGGAGGGUGCGCCGAAAACUGGGGGGCUUGAGUGCCGGAGAGGAUAGCGGAAUUCCUGGUGUAGCGGUGAAAUGCGUAGAUAUCGGGAGGAACACCUGUGGUGUAGACAGCUAUCUGGACGGCCACUGACGCUGAGGCACGAAAGCGUG
rnacentral:rRNA from 1 species